rnacentral:lncRNA from 1 species
CCUAUGUCUAUGUCGUAAAAAAUCAUCUGUUCCUAGAACCUUGGUAAAACCAUCCGCAAAUUGCAAUUGUGUUAGAACAUAUUCAAUUUUCAGAGUUCCCCCUAUUCACUAAUUCUCUCACGAAAUAGUAACUUCUUUCAAUAUGUCUUGAUCUUGAGGUAAUUGUUGGAUUCUUGGACAUGAAUAUUGCUGAACGAUUAUCACAUAACAGUGUUGGUG